AUUAAUCCAUUAGUUCAACUUAUUAUCUCCAUUACUAUUUUCACAGAAACCCUUAUCACAAUGCUAGACUUACACUGAUUUCUCAUUUGAAUGGAAAUAGAAAUAAAUAUAAUUGAUUUUACCUCAAUCUCCAUUAAAAAAUAAGUUUCUGCUCUAGAGAAGCAGCCACCAAAUAUUUGUUUACACAUACAACUGCAUCUAUAAUUCUCAUGAUAGGUAUUCUUUCCAAUAAACUUUCCUCCAGGCAAUGAAUACUAUUAAUCAAAUUUACCCUUAAUAAUAAUAACUGCCCUAGUAAUACGACUCAGAAUAGCCCCCUUACUUCUAAGUCCCAGAGAUAACCCAAAGAACCUCUCUUAUAUCUGGCAUAAUUCUCCUCACAUGAGUAAACUAGCCUGUAUCUCGAUUAUGUUUCAAAUCUUCCAUCAAUGAACAUGAACAUCCUCCUAUCUAUCAAGAACCUAUCCAUU
rnacentral:lncRNA from 1 species